UUAGAGCGGACCGAGGCAACGCUGACCUUAGACAUGGUGCAAUGCUGGUGUUGUGCGGAUGCGUGAGGAUUUCAGCUACUGAAAUUUCAUCGUUUGUGUUGCAGUAGAAUGACAGUCACAUUUAAGAAAUAAUUAGCAUUAGGGUAGGGUCUAGUAUAUGAACAUGCAUACUUACUACUUCCAAGGAAAUUUAGAAUAAGGAGGUGCAAACUAAGUAUCAUUAGACUAUUGUUACGUAUACGGGUGAUGCACAUCGUUAUACGGUAAAGAUGUUGAAGGAAAUCAAUCUUAGUGUUGGAAUUAAAGUACAAGGAUUAAUUUGGAGAAUAUUUAUGA